ensembl:snRNA U6 U6 spliceosomal RNA
GUGCUCACUUCCACAGCACAUAUACUAAAAUUGGAAUGAUACAAGGAAGAUUAGCAUGGCCCCUGCACAAGGAUGACACACAAAUUCAUGAAGCAUUCCAUAUCUGG